UACAGGGGGGGCAAGCGUUGUUCGGAAUUACUGGGCGUAAAGGGUUCGUAGGUGGCUUACUAAGUCAAACGUGAAAUCCCUCAGCUUAACUGGGGAACUGCGUCUGAUACUGGAAAGCUUGAGUGCAGGAGAGGAACGCGGAAUUCCAGGUGUAGCGGUGAAAUGCGUAGAGAUCCGGAGGAACACCAGUGGCGAAGGCGACACGCUGGGCCGUACCUGACACUGAUGCGCGACAGCAUGGGGAGCAAACAGG
rnacentral:rRNA from 1 species